CCACUAUGUAGUUCUGUCUUUGGGUUAAUUUAAAAGAUUCAGCUUAUAAAUCUCGAAGGCUUAAAUAGUUCCUGGAUCAUGGCUGCUUGUGCUUCUUCUUCCACCCCCUCUACUGAGCCUAUUCUUAAUUCAU